AAACUGAAACAUGCCCGGGGUGCAGAAAGAGAGAAGAAGAGAGACUAUUUAACAAGUUAAUCAGAUCUAGUUCAGUAUCUGUACACCAAUGAGUACCCAGCACGCAGAGAGUUGUGCUGCAUCCUAGAGCACUGGCACAAGCAGUUAUGCACCAGAACUGUCAACAUCUGUCUCUGGAUUAAGCAGCAAGGAAGGAGAGAAGAAGAAAUCUUUCCUAUCAGCAGCAGCAGGGGUUGCUGCAGGAAGAUGAUAAUUCCCUCCUGCUACUCUGCUGACAACAACCAAGCUUCACAGGAGGAGCAAGGCAUUUUAAUCAUGGAAUUGAAAAAUACAGCAGUUUCUAAAGCUUCAUCUCACCUUGGCUGACUUAUAUUCAUUUUGGAACAACUAGCUUAUGGUGGAAUUAUGGUAUGUAUGGAAGAUAACAGAUGAUGAAGAAUUCAGCGUCAUUUUAGUUCGUCAAUGCAUAAGAGGCAGGGUGUCUAUGUAUGUAAAUGCUUUUUGAGCAUCCCAGAUAAGCAGGGACCACUGAAUUCCUUAACAGCACAGUGCAAACUUGAGGGCUCCCUAACUCCAUAUUAAGUGUUUUAUAAAUGCUAUACUUUAAAAUACAUAGAAUUAAAUGGAAAAUAGGAAAAAUAUUAACAACUGACAAGUCAGAGUCCAAUAUCUGCUAAAGUCAUCAAAAAACCUGUGACAGAUUAUCGUUAAAGCAAAGACACUCCAUAAUGGGCUGCUAAGAUAAAUGCAAAUCUUGAGUCAAAGACAGUCAGGCACCCCCAAAAUUAAAAAUUUGGGCACACAGCAGCUUACAGACAGCAGCUUUGGGCAUGUGGCACAACAUCUGUUACAAAAACUCUAGAAAGCAGACCUGCGGCAAACUGGACCACUGCCAGCUCUCAAGAUUCCCCUCCCCACCCCCCCAACAAGGCUGUCAGUAAAUGGACAGAUGGCAGCCGAUGCACUCACAAGAUAGUUAGCUCAGUUAACAAUCAAGUAUGCUAAAUGAUUUCAGAUUCACUCUGCACCAGGCAUUGUAUUUUCUAUUGAAUCAUUAACACUAUGUCCUAAUAGGAACAUAGUUUGGUGUAAAGAAACUGGUGGAUACUGUAUUUUACAAGACAGUUUCUCUGGAACAAUUUGUCAGGGAACAGAAGAUCUGCCUUCAUGAAUAAAGUCAGAAUCUGCCAAGUUUACCAGGCUGGUUUGCCCAUAAUUUUAAUUCUACAGUAUUUGAAGAAUGGGGAUAGAAACAAACAUUAAGAUGCAGGUCAGUUAAUACACAAGCUCUCCCACAGAUACACUCAGCUGAAAGAACAGGGCUCUUCUGCCUUACCCUGCCGUUCUGCCUGCCCAGUGUGGCACGUCGCACUGAACUCUCCUGGACAGGACAGCUACCACAAGCAACCCUCUGGGUGACAUGCUUGUCAUCUGAGUGUACGGAUGUGAGGAUUCAUCCCUGGAAAACUAAAAUUUCUUGGCUUUUAAUGGGCGCAAUCUGUAAACAACGUUUGGCCUUCAUACCUGAAGGGGCAAAUAAUUUAGUACUGAAUACUAGCAAAUAGCAUACAGGUGGACUUUUGACCCCAGCAUUACAAGAUACAUCUUUUAAUUCUUCCUCUAUGUCUUUAGCAACAUGUUUAUAGACUCAGUGACAGCGUUAACCCAAUUUAUUUGCUUUUCCAUAAAGCAAUGGGGCAAGAAUAAUAUCUGAAAAAAUAUGUUGUUUUAUCUUUAAAUUGUCCCACACACCCACCCUUUGUUUCCAUUGCAUAUCCAUUUUAUCCAUUCACUCAAAAUCCCAUGCAGAUAAACAACUGGUCAAAGAAGUAAUUAGCUACAAUCCAAGAAGUUCUUUAUCACAUAUUUGGCUCCCAUAACCAUUUUCUUCAUCACUGUUGCACCCAGUAAGUACCCUGAAAAAACACACACACCACCACCCCUUUUCUUUUCUGCCUGCACUAGAAAAAUCCUUUAGCAGAAAGGGGGAAGAAAAAACCCCACCAAGAAAGAAGUGGAAAAGCAGAGAAGGACUAAGAGGAGAGAGAACCACAAUUAGCUCUCCUGAAGGAGGUGGGAGUUGUGCCAUGGACCUGAGCAAAGCCAGCACCUCACGCUUCUUAUUUGUUAGCUCAAUUGCAGAAAGUAGGACCGAAGAAAACAGAAAAAUGUAAAGCACUUCUAACGGGCAAUCUACAAAUUAGUGGUCUACGCAGUCAGGUAACUGCCUACUACAGAACAGCAGAUAAUCUGACUGGUCCUGUGAGAGACUUGUACUUUGGACUCACUCUUUGAGCUCUCCAGAAGCACAGACCUUAUACUGCUUUAAGCGCUGAAUCAAGAGAAGCUGAUCUGCAUUGCAUGCUACAGUGAUCUGGAAAACUCUCACAGCAGUGAGCCUGCCUACGGUCGGUCUAUGAACAUUAUGUAGAUCUUCUGUUAGCCUUCCCUUUCUGCUACAACACUGGUUUUCUUUCGAGAUGUUUAUAGAGCAUCACGAUAGUUAUACAGGGAAAAUCAGCAGUAGCAGCCAAGAACUCAUAUGCCUUGCUCUUCUAAUUCAGACAUG